CACAAAUCUGAUCUACAACACUGUGCUAGUUCCUGGUACACAAUAUAGUGAUUUGACAUUUCUAUACAUCUUAAAACGAUCACCGUGAUGUCUAGUUGUCUCAGGAACUGAUGGAGUCUUUCAAGAGCUGCUGCAGGAAGAUAAUGAAACUCUUGCAUUGUGGCAGUAGGAAAACCCAUGGGAGGAAGGUUCGCAUUUGGAGGUUGGGAGUGAAUACAUCAGAGUGUACUAUGCAGAAGACAAUUGAAAUGGAGUCUCUUGAGUUUUCAAACACUCACAUCCUUUACUUCAUAUAAGCAUGGGAGAUUUUGAAUCAUAUGAAACAAACACGGGACACCGGAACCAAAGGGCUACGUCUAAGCUAACAGCACCAUGGAGCCCAAAGUCUCGAGCAAAAUCAAACUGCAAAGAGGCAGGAAAGAAGACAUCUUUCAGAGAAGCCAAGCUACAAACAGAGUGAAGCAGGUGACCCCAUUUUCAAGGAUUCCACAAACAUGGUACAAGACUGUGUGUACAGUGCAUAUUCCUAUGAAGAGGUCCUGCCCCAUCAUCCUGGCCACAACUGACUGAGACCCCUGAUGACAUUGAGAUUCAGUCUCUGAAGGACUUGAACUAAGAUACAAAGACAGAUUAACUGCAAUCAACUACCUCUCCUGGAAAAAAUGGAUACUCUCAAAUAUACUCAAAAUUUUACAAUCAAAAAAAUAAGGAGGGGGGAUCAAGAUGGCAGAGGAGGAGGAUGUGGAGCUCACCUCCCCACACAAACACAUCAAAAAUACAUCUACAUGUGGAACAGUUCUCAUGGAAAACUAACUGGAACCUGGCAGAAGAACUGUACAACCAAAGCUGCAAGGAAGAUCUCUACAAAACCAGGGUGUGUGUUCAUCUCCUCUCACACGAAAGGACAAUCCUAGAGCUGGCUCCAUUCUGAGCGAGAAGCGCAGCUCCUAGAGAUGGCACAUUCAUCUGUUAUGGAAGGACACUUAUACUUACUACAGAUUGAAAAUAUUCAGGAGAAAUGCCUUCCAAUUCAAGGAUUCUGUCCUCAAGUUUUUUAAUUCUC